AAAGUCGUAACAAGGUAACCGUAGGUGAACCUGCGGUUGGAUCAUUAACAAAUGAUUUGGUUUUUAACCAAAACACUGUGUGCAAUCAUAUCUGUCUCUGGUGGUCUAACCUUCCCUGUUCGCGGGGAUAUCUUGACCACCAAAUGAUGAACAAACCAUUGUAUUUAUUUUUUCAAGUCUGAAUCAUUCACUUUUGUGCAAUGAAAAAACAACUUUUGACAACGGAUCUCUUGGCUCUC
rnacentral:misc_RNA from 1 species